CGGGAGCGGAGGCCCCACUGGGCGGCCGUGCGCGCGUGCGGCCGCGCGGCUCUGGGCUUCCGCGCGCGCGACGAGCGGAGCGUGGACCCUGCGCCGGCUUCGGCGACUCUCCGGCCCGGAAUUGGGCUCCCCCAGGCGGCCACCUCGGCCGCGGGGCCGCGGAGACUGGGCGCCGGGGCGGAGGCAGGGGACCGGCGAGCGCAGGAGGGCCCCGCCUCGCCGUAUGCAGUGCGCGGGACUGCGCCUCCGCUUUCUGGGGAGACGGGGCGGUGUCAGGACUUGGACUAUGUUCCUGAUUUGUUCAGACUGCCAUGGCUCCAUAUAUAAAGGACAUUCACCAAAAAGGUAAUCUGAAAAGUGUUUGUCAUUAAAUCAUCUUAAGUUCCUAUAUUCAUUGCCAUGUCAAAUUUUAAGAAUAAGAGAUGUUUUUUAAGAACACAGAAUUUUUUCCAGUUCGAAGAUGGUGAAAUAGAAGGACUUGCGAUCAUCUCCUCCUGCGAGAUCACCAAAAUCACAACUAUUGAACAACCAGGGACAGGAAGAUGCUGAAAAUGUUCGUUAGUCAUGUCUGACUCUUUGUAACCCCAUGGACUGUAGCCCACCAGGCUCCUCUGUCCCUAGAAUUUUCCAGGCAAGAAUACUGGAGUGGGUUGCUAUUUCCUUCUCCAGGGGAUCUUCCUGACCCACGGAUUGAAACCAGAUCUCCCACAUUGCAAGCAGACUCUUUACCAACUGAGCCACCAGGGAAGACCCUGGAGGAUGCUGGUACCUACCAGAAAAAGAUACCCCAUGUCCAAAGAUAAAGAAAAAGCCACUGUGAGAAUGGAGGAGGGGCACAAUCACAAUAAAAUCAAAUCCCAUUCUCUUCA
rnacentral:lncRNA from 1 species